GUCCACGCCUUAAACGAUGAGAGCUAGUUGUCAGUAAGCAUGCUUAUUGGUGACGCAGCUAACGCAUUAAGCUCUCCGCCUGGGGAGUACGGCCGCAAGGUUAAAACUCAAAGAAAUUGACGGGGGCCCGCACAAGCGGUGGAGCAUGUGGUUUAAUUCGAAGCAACGCGCAGAACCUUACCCACCUUUGACAUCCCGUGCUAUCCAGAGAGAUCUGGAGUCCCUUCGGGGCGCGGUGACAGGUGCUGCAUGGCUGUCGU
rnacentral:rRNA from 1 species